rnacentral:rRNA from 1 species
ACUCCUACGGGAGGCAGCAGUGGGAAUAUUGCACAAUGGGCGCAAGCCUGAUGCAGCCAUGCCGCGUGUAUGAAGAAGGCCUUCGGGUUGUAAAGUACUUUCAGCAGUGAGGAAGGUGGAUGCGUUAAUAGCGUAUUCAUUUGACGUUAGCUGCAGAAGAAGCACCGGCUAACUCCGUGCCAGCAGCCGCGGUAAUACGGAGGGUGCGAGCGUUAUCCGGAUUUAUUGGGUUUAAAGGGUCCGUAGGCGGGUUAAUAAGUCAGUGGUGAAAUCCCAUCGCUUAACGAUGGAACUGCCAUUGAUACUGUUAGUCUUGAAUGAGGGUGCAGUGGUUGGAAUGUGUAGUGUAGCGGUGAAAUGCAUAGAUAUUACACAGAACACCGAUUGCGAAGGCAGAUCACUAACCCUAAAUUGACGCUGAGGGACGAAAGCGUGGGGAGCGAACAGGAUUAGAUACCCUGUAGUGUACUG